AUACGUAGGUGGCAAGCGUUGUCCGGAUUUACUGGGUGUAAAGGGCGCGCAGCCGGGGAAGCAAGUCAGGUGUGAAAUGCAGAGGCUUAACCUCUGAAUUGCAUUUGAAACUGUUUUUCUUGAGUACUGGAGGGGCAAUCGGAAUUCCUAGUGUAGCGGUGAAAUGCGUAGAUAUUAGGAGGAACACCAGUGGCGAAGGCGGAUUGCUGGACAGCAACUGACGGUGAGGCGCGAAAGUGUGGGGAGCAAACAGGAUUAGAUACCCUGGUAGUCCACACUGUAAACGAUGAAUACUAGGUGUAGGGGGUAUCGACUCCCUCUGUGCCGCAGUUAACACAAUAAGUAUUCCGCCUGGGGAGUACGGCCGCAAGGUUGAAACUCAAAUGAAUUGGCGGGG
rnacentral:rRNA from 1 species